rnacentral:tRNA from 1 species
AUCAGAAUAGCUUAAUGAAAGCACUACAUUGAAGAUGUAGCAAUAAUGGUAUGCAUUUUUUGAUA